rnacentral:pre_miRNA from 1 species
AUUUGAAUCAUCUGGGGAUCUUGAUGAAAUGCAGAUUCUGAUUCAGUAGGCCUGGGAUGGAACCUGAGAUUCUUCAUUUCUUUUAAGUUCCUAGAGGCUGCGCAA